rnacentral:rRNA from 1 species
GUGCACGCUGGCGGUAGGCCUAACACCUGCAAGUCGAACGGCAGCACAGUAAGAGCUUGCUCUUACGGGUGGCGAGUGGCGGACGGGUGAGGAAUACAUCGGAAUCUACUUUUUCGUGGGGGAUAACGUAGGGAAACUUACGCUAAUACCGCAUACGACCUACGGGUGAAAGCAGGGGAUCUUCGGACCUUGCGCGAUUGAAUGAGCCGAUGUCGGAUUAGCUAGUUGGCGGGGUAAAGGCCCACCAAGGCGACGAUCCGUAGCUGGUCUGAGAGGAUGAUCAGCCACACUGGAACUGAGACACGGUCCAGACUCCUACGGGAGGCAGCAGUGGGGAAUAUUGGACAAUGGGCGCAAGCCUGAUCCAGCCAUACCGCGUGGGUGAAGAAGGCCUUCGGGUUGUAAAGCCCUUUUGUUGGGAAAGAAAAGCAGCAGGUUAAUACCCCGCUGUUCUGACGGGACCCAAAGAAUAAGCACCGGCUAACUUCGU